AGAGUUUGAUCCUGGCUCAGGAUGAACGCUGGCGGCGUGCUUAACACAUGCAAGUCGAGCGAAAAUAAUUGAGAGCUUGCUUUUAAUUAUUUUAGCGGCGGACGGGUGAGUAACGUGUGGGCAACCUGCCUUUUACUGGGGAAUAAUCACUGGAAACGGUGACUAAUACCGCAUAAUAUUCUUGGAAGGCAUCUUCCGAGAAGGAAAGGAUUUAUUCGGUAAAAGAUGGGCCCGCAUCUGAUUAGCUAGUUGGUGAGAUAACAGCCCACCAAGGCGACGAUCAGUAGCCGACCUGAGAGGGUGACCGGCCACAUUGGGACUGAGACACGGCCCAAACUCCUACGGGAGGCAGCAGUGGGGAAUAUUGCACAAUGGGGGAAACCCUGAUGCAGCAACGCCGCGUGAAGGAAGACGGUUUUCGGAUUGUAAACUUCUAUCAAUAGGGAAGAAAGAAAUGACGGUACCUAAAUAAGAAGCCCCGGCUAACUACGUGCCAGCAGCCGCGGUAAUACGUAGGGGGCAAGCGUUAUCCGGAAUUACUGGGUGUAAAGGGAGAGUAGGCGGCAAGGUAAGCGAUAUGUGAAAGCCUUAGGCUUAACCUGAGGAUUGCAUAACGAACUAUCUAGCUAGAGUACAGGAGAGGAAAGCGGAAUUCCUAGUGUAGCGGUGAAAUGCGUAGAUAUUAGGAAGAACACCAGUGGCGAAGGCGGCUUUCUGGACUGAAACUGACGCUGAGGCUCGAAAGCGUGGGGAGCGAACAGGAUUAGAUACCCUGGUAGUCCACGCCGUAAACGAUGAGUGCUAGGUGUCGGGGAGGAAUCCUCGGUGCCGGAGCAAACGCAAUAAGCACUCCACCUGGGGAGUACGACCGCAAGGUUGAAACUCAAAGGAAUUGACGGGGGCCCGCACAAGCGGUGGAGCAUGUGGUUUAAUUCGAAGCAACGCGAAGAACCUUACCAAGGCUUGACAUACCUAUGACAGAUGUAGAGAUACAUUUUUCCUUCGGGACAGAGGAUACAGGUGGUGCAUGGUUGUCGUCAGCUCGUGUCGUGAGAUGUUGGGUUAAGUCCCGCAACGAGCGCAACCCUUAUCUUCAGUAGCCAGCGAGAGAGACGGGCACUCUGGAGAGACUGCCGUGGAUAACACGGAGGAAGGUGGGGAUGACGUCAAAUCAUCAUGCCCCUUAUGUCUUGGGCAACACACGUGCUACAAUGGCUGGAAACAAAGUGAAGCGAGACGGUGACGUUAAGCAAAGCACAAAAACCCAGUCCCAGUUCGGAUUGUAGUCUGCAACCCGACUACAUGAAGCUGGAAUCGCUAGUAAUCGCGAAUCAGAAUGUCGCGGUGAAUACGUUCCCGGGCCUUGUACACACCGCCCGUCACACCAUGGGAGUUGGAAGCGCCCGAAGUCGAUGACCCAACCUGCAAGGGAGGGAGUCGCCGAAGGUGAAGCCAGUGACUGGGGUGAAGUCGUAACAAGGUAGCCGUAUCGGAAGGUGCGGCUG
rnacentral:rRNA from 1 species